GAUGAACGCUGGCGGUAUGCCUAACACAUGCAAGUCGAACGAGCUCUUCGGAGCUAGUGGCGGACGGGUGAGUAACGCGUGAGAAUCUGCCUUCAGGAUGGGGACAACAGUUGGAAACGAUUGCUAAAACCCAAUGUGCCGCAAGGUGAAAUAUUAAUAGCCUGAAGAGGAGCUCGCGUCCGAUUAGUUAGUUGGUGGGGUAAAGGCCUACCAAGGCAGCGAUCGGUAGCUGGUCUGAGAGGAUGAGCAGCCACACUGGGACUGGGGCACGGGCCAGACUCCUACGGGAGGCAGCAGUGGGGAAUUUUCCGCAAUGGGCGAAAGCCUGACGGAGCAAUACCGCGUGAGGGAGGAAGGUUUUUGGAUUGUAAACCUCUUUUGUUAAGGAAGAAGAAAGUGACGGUACUUAACGAAUAAGCAUCGGCUAACUCCGUGCCAGCAGCCGCCGUAA
rnacentral:rRNA from 1 species